rnacentral:rRNA from 1 species
UACGUAGGUGGCAAGCGUUAUCCGGAAUUAUUGGGCGUAAAGCGCGCGUAGGCGGUUCGUUAAGUCUGAUGUGAAAGCCCCCGGCUCAACCGGGGAGGGUCAUUGGAAACUGGCGAACUUGAGUGCAGAAGAGGAGAGUGGAAUUCCAUGUGUAGCGGUGAAAUGCGCAGAGAUAUGGAGGAACACCAGUGGCGAAGGCGGCUCUCUGGUCUGUAACUGACGCUGAGGUGCGAAAGCGUGGGGAUCAAAC